AGUGAACGCUGGCGGUAGGCCUAACACAUGCGAGUCGAACGGCAGCACAGUAAGAGCUUGCUCUUACGGGUGGCGAGUGGCGGACGGGUGAGGAAUACAUCGGAAUCUACUUUUUCGUGGGGGAUAACGUAGGGAAACUUACGCUAAUACCGCAUACGACCUACGGGUGAAAGCAGGGGAUCUUCGGACCUUGCGCGAUUGAAUGAGCCGAUGUCGGAUUAGCUAGUUGGCGGGGUAAAGGCCCACCAAGGCGACGAUCCGUAGCUGGUCUGAGAGGAUGAUCAGCCACACUGGAACUGAGACACGGUCCAGACUCCUACGGGAGGCAGCAGUGGGGAAUAUUGGACAAUGGGCGCAAGCCUGAUCCAACCAUACCGCGUGGGUGAAGAAGGCCUUCGGGCUGUAAAGCCCUUUUGUUGGGAAAGAAAAGCAGCAGGUUAAUACCCCGCUGUUCUGACGGUACCCAAAGAAUAAGCACCGGCUAACUUCGUG
rnacentral:rRNA from 1 species